rnacentral:RNase_P_RNA from 1 species
GGGAGCAGGAGGGUCGCUGACAGUGUACGACACUGAGGAAAGUCCCCUCUCCGCGAUGCAGGUGGUCCGGCGCAAGCCGGAGGUCCGGGAGGGCCGGCUCUGCAACAGAAACGAACCACGACAGGCGUACUGUGAACCCGAAAGGGAGAGGUUUCCUGGCCGUGGCUGGAACGAGCA